rnacentral:rRNA from 1 species
GGGUGCUUGAGCGCAAGGCGCACCCAGAAACCCUUUGUGAACUUAUACCUUACUGUUGCCUCGGCGCAGCCGGCCCCCCUGGGGCCCCUCCUUCUGGAGGAUCAGGCACCCCGGCAGCUAACCCCUCUCUUGUUUGGACUGCUAAACUCUAAAAACAAUGCCCCAAUAACUCACAACGUUCAACAACGGAAAUGUCGGUUCUAGCAGCGAUCAAUAACGCAUCCCAAUGCGAUCAGUGAGGUGAAUUGCAUAAUUCAAUGAAUCAACGAAUCUUUGAACGCACAUUGCGCCCUCUGGUAUUCCGGAUGGCAUGCCCCUUCAAGCGUCAUUUCAACCCUCAAGCCUGGCAUGGUGAUGGGGCACUGCUUUUACCCUACAGCAGGCCCUGAAAUUCAGUGGCGAGCUCGCCCGGACCCCCACCGCAGUAAUUAAACCCUCCCUGUGGACGGCCCUGGCCGUACCCUGCCGUUAAACCCCCAUUUACUAAAGAUUUCACGUCGCACCAGGUGCGAGUACCCGCUAAAAUUCCUCCAUAAAACGC